rnacentral:rRNA from 1 species
GACGUAGGGUGCGAGCGUUGUCCGGAUUUACUGGGCGUAAAGCGCGCGUAGGCGGCUCGUUAAGUUCGAAGUGAAAUCCCGGGGCUCAACUCCGGAACCGCUUCGGAUACUGGCGGGCUGGAGGGAUGCAGAGGUCUGUGGAAUUCCCGGUGUAACGGUGAAAUGUGUUGAUAUCGGGAGGAACACCCAUGGCGAAGGCAGCAGACUGGGCAUCACCUGACGCUGAGGCGCGAAAGCGUGGGUAGCAAACAGG